rnacentral:miRNA from 1 species
UUUUGUGUCGUGAAGCUUUUG